rnacentral:rRNA from 1 species
AGAGUUUGAUCAUGGCUCAGAACGAACGCUGGCGGCAGGCCUCAAACAUGCAAGUCUAGGGGGUGUAGCAAUACACCACCGGCGGACGGGUGCGUAACACGUGGGAAUAUACCUUUCGGUACGGAACAACUGAGGGAAACUUCAGCUAAUACCGUAUACGUCCUAACGGAGAAAGAUUUAUCGCCGAAGGAUUAGCCCGCGCUCGAUUAGCUAGUCGGUGAGGUAAUGGCUCACCAAGGCUACGAUCGAUAGCUGUUCUGAGAGGAAGAUCAGCCACACUGGGACUGAGACACGGCCCAGACUCCUACGGGAGGCAGCAGUUGGGAAUCUUGGACAAUGGGGGAAACCCUGAUCCAGCCAUGCCGCGUGAGUGAUGAAGGCCUUCGGGUUGUAAAGCUCUUUUACCCGGGAAGAUAAUGACUGUACCGGGAGAAUAAGCUCCGGCUAACUUCGUGCCAGCAGCCGCGGUAAUACGAAGGGGGCUAGCGUUGUUCGGAAUUACUGGGCGUAAAGCGCGCGCAGGCGGUUUCUCAAGUCAGUGGUGAAAGCCCGGAGCUCAACUCCGGAACUGCCAUUGAAACUGUGAGACUUGAGGACGAGAGAGGUGAGUGGAAUUCCCAGUGUAGAGGUGAAAUUCGUAGAUAUUGGGAAGAACACCGGUGGCGAAGGCGGCUCACUGGCUCGUUUCUGACGCUCAGGCGCGACAGCGUGGGGAUCAAACAGGAUUAGAUACCCUAGUAGUCC